GAUGAACGCUAGCUACAGGCUUAACACAUGCAAGUCGCGGGGCAGCAUGGGGGUUGCUUGCAAUCCCCGAUGGCGACCGGCGCACGGGUGAGUAACGCGUAUCCAACCUGCCCUUCACCACGGGAUAACCCGGCGAAAGUCGGACUAAUACCGUAUGUUGUCCAUUGACGGCAUCCGAUUUGGACGAAAGGCUUGGCGGUGAGGGAUGGGGAUGCGUCCGAUUAGCCAGACGGCGGGGUAACGGCCCACCGUGGCUACGAUCGGUAGGGGUUCUGAGAGGAAGGUCCCCCACACUGGAACUGAGACACGGUCCAGACUCCUACGGGAGGCAGCAGUGAGGAAUAUUGGUCAAUGGGCGUAAGCCCGAACCAGCCAAGUAGCGUGCAGGAUGACGGCCCUAUGGGUUGUAAACUGCUUUUAUGCGGGGAUAAAGUGGCCCACGUGUGGGCUUUUGCAGGUACCGCAUGAAUAAGGACCGGCUAAUUCCGUG
rnacentral:rRNA from 1 species